GUCAAAUCAUCAUGCCCUAUAUGCCCUGGGCUACACACGUACUACAAUGGUAGAAGACAGAGAGAAGCAAAACAGAGAUGUAGAGCAAAACUUAGAAAAGCUAUCACAGUUCGGAUUGCAGGCUGAAAUUCGCCUGCAUGAAGCCGGAAUUGCUAGUAAUGGCAGGUCAGCAUACUGCCGUGAAUACGUUCCCGGGCCUU
rnacentral:rRNA from 1 species